rnacentral:tRNA from 1 species
CGCGGGGUGGAGCAGUCUGGUAGCUCGUCGGGCUCAUAACCCGAAGGUCUCAGGUUCAAAUCCUGACCCCGCUACCA